rnacentral:rRNA from 1 species
GACGAACGCUGGCGGCGUGCUUAAAACAUGCAAGUCGAACGAGCACUUCGGUGCGAGUGGCAAACGGCUGAGUAACGCGUGGGUGACCUGCCUCGAAGUGGGGAAUAACUGCCCGAAAGGGUGGCUAAUACCGCAUGUGAUGGCUCCUUCGGUGGAGUCAUUAAAGCCGCAAGGCGCUUGGAGAGGGGCCCGCGUCCGAUUAGCUAGUUGGUGGGGUAACGGCCUACCAAGGCGUCGAUCGGUAGCUGGUCUAAGAGGAUGAUCAGCCAGACUGGGACUACGACACGGCCCAGACUCCUACGGGAGGCAGCAGUUAGGAAUUUUGGGCAAUGGGCGAAAGCCUGACCCAGCAACGCCGCGUGGGUGAUGAAGGCCUUAGGUUGUAAAGCCCUUUUCCGAGGGAAGAUGAUGACGGUACCUCGGGAAUAAGCCCCGGCUAACUACGUGCCAGCAGCCGCGGUAAU